AAUUUAAUACCAGUGAGUAUAUUGUAAUGCUCGAUAAUGAUUGGUCGAUAAUCAUUGAGCUUUAGUCAUUUGAAGGUAUUGAACGCUUAUCAAACCGACUUCACAUUCACUUCUAUUCCGACCGUCAUCGCACGCGGCUCUACCAAGCUCCAAAAAUAUUUUAUUCUCAAAGUAAUUAAAUUGAAAUAUUGCUAUUUCAUAGUAUUUGAACUAGUGAAUUACAAUUCAUUAUUAAAAAUAAUUUACACAAAAUGUUUGUAAAAAUAGUGAUGAUAUUACUGGUAUCGUUCAUUUGCAGCCACAUAGUUUUGGCAUGCCCUCCUUUAAUCUCCAUGAUAAAGCGAGCAUUUGGUUAUGCUGAGGAACAAAAAUUUGUAGAAAGCCAAAAAUCAUUUACACACAUCAUUGGGGACCUUCCAGAAUCUAAAUCACGGCAUGGACAGUACGAGAGCUCGUCCUGGUGUACAAUACUUUAAUAAAUUUACUGAUAAAUUUGUUAAUAUUUAAUCACGCAGAUUAAUAUUGUGAGUAAUUCAAUUUUUUAAGAAUUCAUCAUUGCAAAUAAUUUUUGUUAUAAAAUGAAAUGUACUUUGUUCAAAAAAUUUUAUCGCGAGCUUUAUAAAUAUAAAACAAAAAAAAAAUUAAUUAAUCAAUAUAUAGAUUUUAAACGACGCAGCGAUUUUUAUAAAAUUUUUUUUUAUCUUUCGUAAUAAAAUAAAAUGUGUUUUGUCCGAUUAAAUUUAUAAAGAUAUCGAGCUCUUUUUACAUAUAUGUAAUAAUCAAAUUUGAUUGAUAAAUUAAUUAAUAAUUGACGACGCUUCUGACUAUUGUGAAAAAUUCAACUUUUGAAUAAUUUAUUGUUUUGAAAAAUUUUACACUUAAAUAAAAUGUAUUUUGUCCGAUCAAAUUUAUCAAGAUGUCGAGAGCUCCUUUUAUAUAUUCAUAAUAUUCAAAUUCGAUUGAUAAAUUAAUUAAUAAUUAACGACGCUGCUGACUAUUGUGAAUAAUUCAAUUUUUGAAUCAUUUAUUGUUUUGAAAAAUUUUUGUAAUAAAAUAAGAUGUAUUUUAUCCGAAAAAAUUUAUCAAAAUAUCAAGAGCUCCAUAUAUAUUACAUCAAUAUAAUUUUAAUUGAUAAAUCAAUUAAUAUGUAACGACGCUGCUGAAUUUGCGAGUGAUUCAAUUUUUAAAUAAUUUAUUAAUUUGAAAAAUUUUGUAAUCUAACGUAUUUGAUCAAAUAAAUUCAAUGAAGUGAUUGCUAUAAUUAACAAAUGAUGUAAAGUGACCAUUGGUAUGAAAUUUUUGUACAGCAACAAAAAAAAUAAAGCUUUUAAA